GGCGAUCAGAUACCGCCCUAGUUCUGACCGUAAACGAUGCCAACUAGCGAUCCGCCGAUGGAGAUUAUGUUGCCUUGGUGGGGAGCUUCCCGGAAACGAAAGUCUUCCGGUUCCGGGGGAAGUAUGGUUGCAAAGCUGAAACUUAAAGGAAUUGACGGAAGGGCACCACCAGGAGUGGAGCCUGCGGCUUAAUUUGACUCAACACGGGGAAACUCACCCGGCCCGGACACUGUGAGGAUUGACAGAUUGAUAGCUUUUUCAUGAUUCAGUGGAUGGUGGUGCAUGGCCGUUCUUAGUUCGUGGAGUGAUUUGUCUGGUUUAUUCCGAUAACGAGCGAGACUCUAACCUACUAAAUAGCUGAUACAUAUUUUUGUGUAUUCGGCUUCUUAGAGGGAUUUGCGGUGUUCAGCCGAAAGAAAUUGAGCAAUAACAGGUCUGUGAUGCCCUUAGAUGUCCGGGGCUGCACGCGCGCUACACUGGCAAAAUCAACGUGCUUGUCCUGCCCCGAAAGGGGUGGGUAAACCAUUGAAAAUUUGCCGUGAUUGGGAUCGGAAAUUGCAAUUAUUUUCCGUGAACGAGGAAUUCCAAGUAAGUGCGAGUCAUCAGCUCGCGUUGAUUACGUCCCUGCCCUUUGUA
rnacentral:rRNA from 1 species